GGGAAUUCUGCGCGGGGCGGGGCUUGGCGGGCCGGGAAUUUCCCAGGCCAGUCAAACUGCGAAGCGCCGGAGAACGAGUUGGGUCUUGCCUGGGAGGCGUUGCCGGGCCGGGCCGGGAGGGAGUGAAUGAGGGAGCACACAGGCUGUGGCUGAGGAAUUCCCUCCGUCGCUCGCUGGAAACUUUUUGAUUUUUCCACAGAAAGGAAAGUCUGUGACUAAGGCACCUCCCCCCCUCCCCCACCCGCUACCACUUCUCGAGGUCCUUCUCCUUGGCGAAGUCCCUUGAGGCGCGGCUGGUUCAGCCGUAAGCAAGAAUGCACAGUUCCUCACUGAGCAGGCACACUCCCCCCCCCCCCAAAGUUGGGAUUUCCCUUAUUUUUUUUUUUCCCUAACCCAACAACGCAGAGCCUUAAAAUGCCGUGGUAUUUUGGUAAAGAUUCCCAGUUUUACUUCAAAGGCAUCCGUUGCAGAGCCGGUCGGCUUCGCACAAGGGGCGGCGGUGCAGGAUUUGCAUCGGCGGGGGGGGGACGACGACGCCUUAUGGAGGAUAGGGCAGAGUCACCUGCAGGCCCCCCUGCCUCCCAUACAUUGCAGUGCGCUCCCGGCACAGCCAGCACCAUCCGUUUUGAUGCUUAGGGCAAGUGACAUCAUCUCCCACCCACUCUGUCCUGAGGCAAGAGAGCAAGCCCCCAAUGAAAAAGAAGGAAGAGAAUGGAGUGCCCCCCAAAAAGAAAGAGGACGUUUCUGCUUUUGAAAAGAGAACUGUGAAUAAGGCCGGGAGGUGUUGCCAUUUAUUUUCCUAACACUCACCAGGAUUUUGGUGGAAGACAUUCUCAACAGGGCCAUAUGCCCCCUCGGUGGUGUUGGGGCGCACAUUUGAAGACUGGAAACAAUUCUUCUCACACAAGCUUUCAAGCACAUUUGGAAAUUGCUGCAAACUGGAAGGGAACUUGUGAUGCAACUUUACAUGCAUGGAGAAUUGGACAUGGCACAUGGCCCCAGUGGAAAAAUAACCGGAUCAGAUUGCUUCAACAACCAUACUCCCAAGAUGAUUGUUUAAACACAUGGUUUCUUUUAUUAUACUGUAUUAAUAAGAAUAGCAAGUCUUAUUUUCCUGUAGUUUCUCAUGUCAAUCUUUGGUGUGAUAUUCUAAUCUGAUAUAGAUUGCACCAGUGUGAACAUUUACUUAUUUUUUAACUUCCACUUUUUGGAAAUGUGGUAUAUCGGAUUAUACAUUCCUUAUGGAAGAAGAAUGUGAUCACAUUUACUUGAAAUGCUGUUUCAACUAAAUCACCAGUGUUUGCUUCCAAACAAAUUUUCUCAGCAACAAUCUGGGUGGAUGGUGAAAUCACAUAGCAUGUAGCUAUUAGGUCACUUUGUCCUCCCAAAGCUACUGCUACCUAUUCGUUGUCAGAGUUUGUGCAAGAAAAUUAAUUCUCCAUUAUCUACAUUAUGCAUUUCUUUGACCACUUUCCAUUCUUGUAUUGCUGGAAGACCAUAGCCUCCAAAGGCCCAGGCAUCAUCACCAUCAAGGCGACAGCCCUGUGAACUGGUAUUGGGUGAAUCUGCUAUAAAACUAAAGAAGCUUAAACUUCAGGGCCCCUAAUCACGGAUGACUUUAGUUCACUUUUGUAAAAAAUUGUGGUACUCUGACGCGAACAACUCCAUUGACAAAGUGGCUACCCAGAUCCUAUUGCUGGUUGUGAAGAGGUUCCCCAUAACACUUCAAGCUUCUGGGCCCCAAAAAUGCUGGUCUGCCACUGUUGCUUCUCAUUUUUUGGGGCAGCUAAAUAUUCCUCCAUGAGAUCAAAGCAUAUGACUGCCACAUUCAUUUUGUCUUGCCAAUGGCCAAUUGUUUUCUUAUUUUUUAGCCUGCUCUGUGUUAUAAAAUGCUGUGCUUUGCUUUUUAGGCUAAUGUUGAUCUUUGGGGAUUGAUUCAAUAAACUUUAUAUACUAAGCGUGUCAACGGACUUGUAGAAACGUGGCCCAAAGGAGAACUUUCCACCUCAGUUGAGAGACAACGUUUUAAAGCUCUGAAAUGUUCAAUAAGCUGUACCAUUAAAAACGGAGACAAGAACUGUUUCUGGGCAGGACUUAGACACGUGCUGUUAAUUACCGAAAGGCUUUGGGACCUGGCUUGGUAAAGUUCCAUCAGCUUCCUAGCCAGCAUGGACACCAAAAGCUGUGGUUCAAAAAAGUUACAUUUCUACAUUCUGGACCUGGGUGGCUCUUAAGGGGAAGGACGAGAUACUGUUCCUCCUCAUCCUGAUAGAUUUCCUCCUAGUACAUACACCUGCACACCAAAGCUGCUUCUUAGGCGCUCCUCCCCAACUUCUGAAUAUAUGUGGCUACUGCCCAAGGAGAAUACAUGCCUGUAGUGUCCUCUGUAUGGAUGGCCUUUCCAUGGAAACUUGCUUGGUGCUGGUUUUAGUGUCAUUUUUCU